rnacentral:rRNA from 1 species
CCAAGGAGUCUAGCAUGUGCGCGAGUCAUUGGGACUCUAACGAAACCUAAAGGCGCAAUGAAAGUGAAGGUUCGCCACGCGCGAACCGAGGGAGGAUGGACGGUCGAUCGUGGCCGUCCCGCACUCCCUGGGCGUCUCGUUCUCAUCGCGAGAAGAGGCGCACCAAGAGCGUACACGCUGGGACCCGAAAGAUGGUGAACUAUGCCUGGUCAGGACGAAGUCAGGGGAAACCCUGAUGGAGGUCCGUAGCGAUUCUGACGUGCAAAUCGAUCGUCGGAACUGGGUAUAGGGGCGAAAGACUAAUCGAACCAUCUAGUAGCUGGUUCCCUCCGAAGUUUCCCUCAGGAUAGCUGGCGCUCGCUUCUCGCGAGUCUCAUUCGGUAAAGCGAAUGAUUAGAGGCAUUGGGGUCGAAACGGCCUCAACCUAUUCUCAAACUUUAAAUGGGUGAGAUCUCCGGCUUGCUUGAACUGUGAAGCCGCGAGAUAUCGGAUCAGAGUGCCAAGUGGGCCACUUUUGGUAAGCAGAACUGGCGCUGUGGGAUGAACCAAACGCCGAGUUAAAGCGCCUAAAUCGACGCUUAUGGGAUACCAUGAAAGGCGUUGGUAACUUAAGACAGCAGGACGGUGGCCAUGGAAGUCGGAAUCCGCCAAGGAGUGUGUAACAACUCACCUGCCGAAGUUACUAGCCCUGAAAAUGGAUGGCGCUGAAGCGUCGUGCUUAUACUCUGCCGUCAGCGGCAUGUGAGACGGUCCUUAAGAGGUCGUCAUGAAGCCCUGACGAGUAGGAGGGUCGCGGCGGUGAGCGCAGAAGGACCAGGCGCGAGCCAGUCUGGAGCCGCCGUCGGUGCAGAUCUUGGUGGUAGUAGCAAAUACUCCAGCGAGGCCCUGGAGGACUGACGUGGAGAAGGGUUUCGUGUGAACAGCCGUUGCACACGAGUCAGUCGAUCCUAAGCCAUAGGCGAAAGCCGAUGUCGAUGCGGUGUAUCUUUCGGUGUCUGUAUGCGCGCGGCUUUUUCUACUGCUGCUGCUGCUGUUAGGGCGGAGAGACUCACACCCGUCGGGCGAAAGGGAAUCCGGUUCCUAUUCCGGAACCCGGCAGCGGAACCGUUAUUAAGUCGUGCCCUCAUUCAGAGAGUUCGUCGGGGCAACCCAAAAGGACCUGGAAACGCCGCCGGGAGAUCCGGGAAGAGUUUUCUUUUCUGCAUAAGCGCUCGAGUUCCAUGGAAUCCUCUAGCAGGGAGAUAUGGUUUGGAGCGCGAAGAGCACCGCAGUUGCGGCGGUGUCCGGAUCUUCCCCUCGGACCUUGAAAAUCCAGGAGAGGGCCACGUGGAGGCGUCGCGCCGGUUCGUACCCAUAUCCGCAGCAGGUCUCCAAGGUGAAGAGCCUCUAGUCGAUAGAAUA